CGAGGGGACGGACAACACACACACAGUCUCGGUGGUUAUAUUAUAUAACUACAACCUCCUUUUCAUUCCAUGUGCUUUGGAUCCUGCAGUAGAUGUCCUUUUAUCAUUGGGACAUAACAAAUUACUCUGGCAAACUGUCAGGCUGAGCUUCUGGAAGUUAUUUCCCUCUUUUUCAACUGCAUACACAAGAUGCCUUUUUCCGACAGUGUAUAAAAUAACUGAAAAUCCUGGGAUACUUCGCAGAAGAGUGCUGUGGGUUUUUCCUUCCCCUUGGCUCCCCUGCCUACAUCUCAGGUUCCUGCGGGGACACGGGAGGCUCUUGUUUGGUAGGUAAGGCUGCCAUCUCGUGGGGUCCUUCUGCACAGCACCCUGCCUUGCCAAGGGGACAAGGGGACAGCAGCUCCAGAGACCUUGAGGGCUCUCAGCAUUAUGGUCUCUGAAAGCUGGGGAAGAUUCCAGGGUGACAAGUUGCUGGUGCCAUUCACGUGCUCCUGUUGGUGAGUCAGAACAAGUCUUCUCACGGACUUUAAUUUGUAAUGCUUUCCCUCCUGAGAGCUAAGGGUGCUGAAAUGCUGAGAAAUAAUACAGAGCAGUAUUUCAAUGCUAAAGCAAAAAUCAAUGAGAGGUGUGCUGUUGUUUGAGAAAUCCUGCUUGUCACUGACAAUAUGUCCUAACCACGGUGCUGCAGUGGGACUCAUCUCGUUAGAGCCUGACAAGGAACGUCUUGCUGUAGUGGUGUCACACAAUGCUCAUCAGCUGUUGCUAGAAGGACAAAAUGACAACAGUUAAUUAAGAUUCCAUAAAUGCUGGUGGCUGGAAACCCUCCUACCCGUGACCCGUGCUCUGGCAGGUAGGCUGUUAGUUUGGGAUAUACUGGUGUGAAAACUCACGGUAUUAACACAGGACCAUAGAAGGGCCCACAUGAAAGGGGUGCCAAUUAUUCUUCUUCUGGAAAUUGCACCAAAGAUGGACUGCCUUCAGCCUGGAUUGUCAAUAAUUUGUAUCCAAUACAUCAAUAUGUGACUUCAGGCUGUGUCCUUUGUGCUAAACCUUUACUGAAAGAGGGUAGAUUGAGAUUAGACAUAAAGAAAUUCUCUACUCUGAGGGUGGUGAGGCAGUGGACUGGGUUGCCCAGAGAAGCUGUGAAUGCCCCAUCCCUGGACAUGUUCAGGGCCAGGUUGGAUGGGGCCCUGGGCAACCUGAUCUAAUGGAAGGUGACCCUGCCCACGGCAGCAGGGUUGGACAAAAUAAUCCUUAAGGUUUCUGCCAAUCCAAACCACUCUGUGAUUCUAUAAUGGUGGCCAAAGGCAUCCCUGUGGAAUAGGUUGCUAUCUCAUCUGAGGAGUGAGUUAUAACCAGCUCGUAGUAGGCUCAUAAAACCAGGGGAAUGCUUCCUGGACAGCUGGAAUUUUGUGAGAAACCAUUUUUCUGUGUGCGUGACAGGAGGGGUGCUCUGCCGAGCCUCCACACCAUGCCCAUGUACCCCACAGCGCAGCGGCUGGGCACCCGCUCCCUCAGCCCCCGCCUCCCCAGGCUCUCCUCAGUGCCCUCCCGGCCUGUCCGCCAAAGAUGGAGCCUGGCUGCAGCCAGGGGAGGCCGCUUGUGCCACACAUUUAUGUCAACAGCUUCGGCUCCCACCGCUGUGGUUCCCUCAUCCGCUGUGGCAGGGGCUACAAGUGGGCUGAUGCGGGCCAGUCUAGGAUCCUGCUUUCCCAGCAGAGCCCCAUGGACAGGAGAAGGGGGCAGAGGGCAGCCAAGGCGCGUGGGGACAAGGCUGACCCCAAGCCAUCGGGCGCUGCUGGCAGGGCGCAGGCAGUGGAGAGCUGUGGUGGGGUGAAGGACACCAGCCUGUGCCAUGGUACGUGUUGCUGGGCCUGGGGACCUCCAUGCCUUGGGAGAACAUGGGGCUGAGGUCAGGCCCUUGCUAUGUCUUUCUCUUCUCAGGGGACACCAUUUCCGUGUGGUGCUUUGGGCUGGCGCGUUGUCCCAGUCAGACUGUGCAUGCUGGGAGGUGAAUGUGGCACAAAGUUUUUUUGACGUGCUGUAGACAGGUAGACUGCGUAUUUAGGGAGGGAUUGGAUCGUGGUGUUAAACUCAACAUGAGUGAAAAAUUCAGUCUUUUUGUCCCAAACUCUUACUCUGUUGAGCUGCGGUGUCUCCUGCAAGCCUGCAAGGUGAGGUGGCUGCAAUGCAGCACAGCCCACCUUGUCUUUUCCUGGGAUGAGGCCAAAAAUAACCAGCAUCUGUGGAGCUUCUCUGUUACACCUUGUAGUUCUGUGCCCUUUAUGUCUUUUCUGAGGAGAUUCCCCUCUAACCAGCAUGUCACUGUGCUGCUUGCUUCUUCCUUGCUGUAACAGCCUAAAGAUGUUUCUUAAUUUUCUUUCUUUGUGGCUGGGACCAAAGAAAGUUGGGAUGGGCAUGGGUGUGGGUGCCUUUUAUUUAUUUAAAGCACACAAGAAAGAUUAGGCAGUUUCCCACUGUUUGCAGUCUGUUAUGAAACAUAGCUCUGCUGCACAAGAUGAAAUGGAGAGAAAAUGGAGAGCGUGACCUGGCUUCUGGAGAAAAAUCCAGGGCUGGGGGUUGGAAAUGCUGGGUGACAGAGAUAGGGUGGUCCUGAGUGUCGUUAACUUGUUGAUCUUCAGCUGUUUUAUUUUCUUUCCUUUUUUUUUUUUCUUUUCCUUUUUUUUUUUCCUCUCCUUUUUAAAAGCCAUUUUUCUGAAGAUGACAAAGGGAGAUGCUAUAUUAGGCUGUCAUUAAUAGCACCAGUUCUGCUGUUUUUUUAUCUGAGUGAUGGCAACCAGGGGCUCGGAGACAGCCUGUGACUACUGGCAAUUGGAAGUCCUACUGCAAUGAUGUGACUGGCAAUGGGGCUGUGGUGGCCUGGAGAAUGCUGGUUUACCCUAAAGCCAUGCUGCAGGAGGGGAUGAGCCUGCAGCUGUGACUGUGUUCAACAACCCCACAUGGAUGCACCCUUUCACUCAUCUGCAUGCCUCGCCUGCCUGUCCAGCAGCUCCUGGGAAGCCUGCUGUCCUCACCCUGCUGGGAACUCAUCCCAGUCCUUCCUCCUUGUGGCUGUGUGUCUCAAGCUCCAAGAGCCCAGCCUUGCUUCUCCUUGCUUCUGUUUUUUUAGCACUAGCAGAGGUGAUUAUUGUGAUUUCUUGCCUCAGUGUACUCACCAUUUCCUCCUUCAGCUGAAACUUUUGUAGCUGCCAUACUGAGGAGAUAAAAAGGGAAUUAAAAGCUAGUUGUAUUGCCCAGAAACAUGUUGUCUUCAUUUGUGGUUGCUGUACUGUUUUGAAAUCUGUUUUGUGAAGUUUGUGAGACACCCACUUGCCACAUGGUUAUAAUGUAAAAAUGGGCAAGAUGAUGGCAUGAUGUGAGGACUGAUGUUCUGUAACCUACUGGGACCAGAAAUAAGCACCUCUGGAAGGAUGGGAUGCUACAGCUUCCUCAAGAAUUUACUGUAAACACUCAGGAUAUGCUAUCUAAACUCUCUUCUUAGAUGACCUUCAAAAGGAGAAGCCUGACACCUUUGACUUUCCCUGCCCAUCAAGAAACGUUGAAAAAGUAAUUAAACGAAAGAAGAAAAAGUACAAAGUCUGGAUUAAAGUCUGGAAAGUAAUUUCAAAAAUGCUUGAAGAAAAUGAAAAGUUCAGAAGUCGACUGUCUGCUUGUAGUCAGUUUAAUGGAGAAGGCAAUGAUAUGAAGCAAAGUUCACAGAAUGAGACAUUCUCCCUGGACAGGGAAGAGUCCAUCUUCGGUUGGGUAUAGCAAGAAAAUAAAGGAAGAUUCAAUCCAAAAGGAAAUAUAAAAGUAGUGAAGUUGUUUGUUAUGAUCUAGUUCUUACUGAAAUUGGUGGCAAGACUACAAGUGGUUUCACUGAACACUGUUUUUCUGUUGUUUGUUUGGCAUAUGUGUUUCUACUGUUCAAGAGGUUUGUUUUUAGAGUGGCUUAAACAGCUCUGUUGUGAAAUAUUUAUUUGAAGUCAUUAAGUCUAGUGUUUCACUUAGUUAUUAGAUUUGAAAGCUUUUUAAUGAGCAUAAUAUUGUGACAGUUUGCUUGCAAAAGAAUAGAGACACACAUUUAGUGUUGACUGUGUAUAUUUAUUGGUUCUUUUUGUAGCUUGUCAGAAUCAUAAACAAACAUAAAUUCAGUAAAGCAGAACUCCACACAAGAUAUAUAGAAACACUUUUGUUCCUAGUGAUUUGAAUAAUUUUGAUUUUAUUAUAUUAAAAUAACACACAAUUACCCUUCUGUUCAUUCAUCCAUUUAUACAUGAACCUCAGCAAGUAUUUUGAAUAUGAAACCAGGUGAAUGUUUUCUGCCUUACUGUUCAUCACAAAGCACGUAAUAAUAUCAUCAUAAUCAGAAGGUGCUGUUUAUCUAGCUGACUUCAAUAACACAAUAUAAUUUUCUUCUGUUAUGGAGUUUUAUAGUUGGAAUCUUGAUUGACUGUUAAAACCUUUUAAACUAGCAAAUUGUGUAAAUGGAACAUGAAGACUGCAUAAAAGUAGUAUGUAUACAGAUUUCAUCUCUAUAGCUAAAACAUUCACCUGUCACAAUUAGACAUCUUUGGUUUCAAUAAAAGGAUGGUUUUCUCAUUGCAUAAUGUCUUAGUGUUUGCAGAUAUAAUGACUGGAAUGUCAGAGUGUUGAGCUUUAAUAGUAUGCCAGUGACUGUGUCAUUAAGCAGCAAAGCAUUUGGAAGGGUUUAAUCUUUGUUUACUUAAUAGUAAAACUGCAAAUAUGGAACUAGAAUGUGCCUUUCUGAUGACAGUUUGGGCAUCAAGUUUUUUUUCUGAUUUGUGGCUGAGUAAUAUUCUGAUUUUACUUGAAAUAGUUGACAUUUCAGCUUGGAAAAGGAAGUGAGAAAGCAAAGUAUUCAGUCAAGAUGUGAUCAUUUUUCUGGCAGAAGAAAAAUGUCAUAGUUCUUUGGUAUUUUCAAAAUUCUUGUUUGGAGUCACACAUUUAUUUAUUUAUUUUUAAUAAAGGAGAUAGUCCUCCUCAUCCCCCACAGUUGUAUCAAUGAAUUGUUGGCGUGAAGAGUAGCUGUUUUAUAAUCCCAGACUGUAAAUUGUGGAGCUGCUACUCUAAUGUUUCUUUUCUAGUGAACUGCAGCUUCAGUUGGUACCUUUAUUAGCACAGUCUUAAGUGGCCCUGGAAAUGAAGCUUUUGUGUUUCUGCUGUGCUGCUACUUUUUCAUCCAGGUGCGAUGGCGAUUUGAGGGGAGGGCCCAUGCAGCAUCAACCUUGCCAUGUAACUUUAUAGUUGUUAACAUGCAGCUGAUAAAGAAAUGUCUACUGCGUUCCUUAUUAAUUCCAGUAAUCUGUGUUCUUACCUGCUUGUCUUAGUCCUCGUCCAACAUGCCUGUGUUCUGCCUUCACCUUGUUUCCACCUCACUCAAGAAUGCAGCUCAUGCCCAGAGCAGAAGGUGGUGAGCAUCAGUCCUUCUCAGCCUGUGAGGUGUGUGAAAGUUCAAGGAAGGGAUCAGCAGGCCCUUCCCCCAGAAACCCUGUGGUGGUGGCAAUAUAAUUAAUUGGUUGGGAUCCACUAAUAGAAAAGAAUCUCUGAUUGGCAGCACUCUGAAAGGGAUCUUACAUUUGAAAUCACUUUGGGUUAGAUCUCCUAAUGUAGCAGGGCAAAAAGAUACACGGUGAUUUAAGUUUAACUUCUAACUCUCUGUGUAAUUUCUAACUUUUCUAGGUUCAGUUUCUAACUCUGUGCCUAGCUUUCCACUCUAGUGACCAGAUUUCAAAGGUACUGUUAUGAAUAAGGGUAGUUAGAGUAGUUAAGCUACCAAAAAAAGAAAAAAAGAAAAAAAUUGAAGAUCAAGCUCAGGAUGUACAAAGUAGCCCAGCUGACAUGCAUACGAUCAUCAUCCACUCAGAUCCCUGCUGCAUUUUUUUUUCCUUCAUAAGACCAGUUAAUUAUAAACUGCAGAAGACAAAGUAAAUGUUGUGUUGCAUUAAAAUAUUCAUAUAUAAUCCAAGUAAGUAGCAUCUUCAACAUGAAAAAAGGGAGUUGUUUGUACAGGAAGAACUUUAUUUAAACCCUCUUUCUUAAAAGAAAUCAGAAAUAAAUAGGGGAGCCUCAGGGCACUAGAUCAUACACUUGAUUCAGAAAACAACUGACCCUCCUCUGAAGUCCUUAAUCAUCACUGCAGAAGCAAAACCAAGGGUCAUACUGUCCUGCUGUGGUUCCUGGGUAGUGGUGUUGUUCUUUCACAUUCUUCAAAAUGCAUAUCAGUUACCUGAAGUUUUUAAUAACAAAUCUCACUUGGAGUGUGAACUGAAGCAGAUGUGCGAAUAUAGAGGUCAUGAUUUGUCUUUGCUUUGCAGCCUUUUUUCUCAGUACCUAUAUUACCUUUCUAAGCAGUACAAAAAUUCUAGUGAAUUCUAGAAGUUCAAGAACAAUUUUUAAGCUCAACCCUGUGAACAUAUUGCAGGAGAUCUGAAGAGGUACGUUGCGGUACAGAGGUGGGAGGGAGCAGCCAGGGCUUACAGAGUAGCUGAAGGCGCUGCUGCUGAAUUCCUCUGAUCAGUAAAUGCUAGUGUCAGCCACUUGCCUCAAGUUCUUAGAGUUGGUCUGAAUAAGUAUUCUUUUGUAGCACAUUUUUAUAAAUACCGAUGACUCUAUAGGAAGCUAAGUAAUGCAGAGUAAGGCAUUCAGUUACGAAUUUACUGGUAAAACAAAGUUUAACUGGAAAUAGCACAUCUGCUGGGUCUGAAAUGUUUUGAUUGAAAGUUUUCCCAGAUGGUGAGUUCUUGCCAAAUGAGGUCCCCUGGCUCCUGGAACACUUCUUGGCAGGUCAGCCCAGGAUACGCUGCCUCUUCUGUCUGCCCAGUGACACGAAGGAGUGUCCAGGGCUUGGGGGCUUGAAACUCCAGCCCUUGGUGUUAGGCUACCGCUUCCAAGCUUAUGUAAAGCUGUAAAAAUCAUGAAAAUCCAAAUCUGGAAGUGCUAAGAGGCUUGGCUGGAGGCAGGACCGCUGGAGCUCCUGCACUCCCUGACGCGGAGCUGUGACUUUGGGCAGGCUUCCCGGGACAGACCUCAGCGACAAGGCCUCGCCAGAGCCAGAGGGUCCUGGGAGGUCCCCCAGCUACUGCGCUGAGCUGGUGUUUGCAGAUGCUGCCCUACUGCCAGACACAAUGUCACUGAUCAGCUGAGGCUUGGUAACUCAGGGAAUUGUGUUCUGGAAGUGUUUUGAUGUUUCUGAAGUGACCUUUCUGGGAAUUUCCACUUUGCAGGCAUUUUCAAAAGAGUUUGUUUCCUGCCUGAUUUGGAUCAAAGCCAUGAUUCAGAUAAAAACCCAUUUCCUGCAAACUGGCGGCUUGGCUUGCCAGGCAGCUAGCUCUUUCAGCUCAUGACCCAUCUGCUCUGGUGCUGAGAUGAAUCAGAUUCCUCUGCCCUAAUCCUGUGGCCUGCGAGGUUAUAACUUGGCCAUUACAAUCACCAAAGCUAAUAAUGUUUCACCAUUGAUUCAUUCCAUAAAAAGAUUUCAGCUUUUAAGAAAACUUGGGAGCAGGAUGUGGAGUUUCUCCCAUGAUCAGAUUUCAGGAAAGUAUAAGGUGACCUUUGUCUUCACUGGAUGUUUACAUCAAGUAAAUGUCUUUGUCUUUAGGGCCCUUGCUAGUAGUCAAUGUUCAUGUUUUAACUUCAAAGCUCCUAAUACAAUUUUGCAUGGCCUCUGACUAAAGAAUAGCCUUCAGCAGGCAGUUCAGUUCUAUUUUUUUAUCUUUUGGGAAGUGACUUAAAGCAAGUUUUGGGCAUAUGUGACAUUUUAUGUAUGUGUGCAAUAGGUCUUUAUGUAUGAAACAAACAUGAUGCAACUUUGAUUUAUAGCUCUUGUAAAUAAUUCUUGGUGACUUAGGCAGGUUUGUGUAAUAUGUAUAUUUUCAUUGCAUAAGCACUUAUAUAACUACAACAACAGGAAUUUCCAUAAAACCCAAAGCAUCCAUACUUCAAUGAGUUUAAUAUUAUAGGCUUUUCUGCAAAGGGAAGUAGCAGGGGAACCUAUCAUAUGAAGCAUAUAUUAAGGCCACAGUGAAUUUUAAUAAAUGCUUAUAGGAAGCUACCCACUCAUUAGUGACAGCAUCACAGAAAUCUGAUCUGAUGGAAAAAAA